UAACAUUUGAACGCAAAUGGUAAUAUGAGACGAUGCAAGUCCAGACUGACACAUGGAAUUCUAAAACAUGCAAAGGUGUCAAAACAAUAUCACUUGUUAAUUAAAAGAUUAAAUACACAAAUUCGUGCCUUAUAAGGAUAUUCAUAAACGCCGAUUUAUUAAAAGAGUACGACGCUGGAUGCCACGUUUAUUGACAUAACCCGAAACUAAUGCCCGUGAGGUAGUCAAACCUGUUUUUAACAGAAUACAUAACACGACUAAUUAAUAUAAGGUGCUGCCUCAAAGCGAAAGUACAUCUGAAACCGUUUGCAUCAAUUCUUUGCAGAAUCUUCAAAGAUUAUCUAUUAGCUAAGUCACCAUUAGUCAACUUUGGUAAGUUUAAUUUUAUUCUUCUUAUAAUAUUUAACUCUUUCCCGACAACCGGUUUCGUAUUACAUUUCGAUACAAUUUUUCUAAUAUAAAUAUCUCCACGAGUAUUUACCCCCCUUUUAAAUAAAUGCCACCAUUGAAAUCCUCAUAAAAUAACCUUUCGAACGGGGUGUCAAGUGCCGUCAAAACAUUACACAAAGCGAAACAAUCAUAUAUUCACUCACCGCUUGGCCAAAGAUUCUAAAUUUCAUAUCCACAAGAUCUUGAAUACCCCUUGAACUUUUCGUCAUUUGCUGAACGGCUAUACGUGUAAAAUACUCUCUGUAUUCAAGCGCUUUCGUGUAGAAAGUUUCGUAUGUAUACGCAGACUAGAAAUAUUUAUUUUGAAUUUUUCAAGAUAUCGGGUUUUACUCGCACUU